rnacentral:rRNA from 1 species
CUAGAACGAACGCUGGCGGCAGGCCUAACACAUGCAAGUCGAGCGCGCCCUUCGGGGUGAGCGGCGGACGGGUUAGUAACGCGUGGGAACGUACCCUUUGGUAGGGAAUAGCCACUGGAAACGGUGAGUAAUACCCUAUGAGCCCUUCGGGGGAAAGAUUUAUCGCCAAAGGAUCGGCCCGCGUUAGAUUAGGUAGUUGGUGGGGUAAUGGCCUACCAAGCCUACGAUCUAUAGCUGGUUUUAGAGGAUGAUCAGCAACACUGGGACUGAGACACGGCCCAGACUCCUACGGGAGGCAGCAGUGGGGAAUCUUGGACAAUGGGGGCAACCCUGAAUCCAGCCAUGCCGCGUGAGUGAAGAAGGCCUUAGGGUCGUAAAGCUCUUUCGCCUGUGAAGAUAAUGACGGUAGCAGGUAAAGAAACCCCGGCUAACUCCGUGCCAGCCGCAGC